rnacentral:rRNA from 1 species
GUUGAACGCUGGCGGUGUGCCUAAUACAUGCAAGUCGAGCGAACAGACGAGGAGCUUGUUCCUUUGACGUUAGCGGCGGACGGGUGAGUAACACGUGGAUAACCUACCCAUAAGACUGGGAUAAUUUCGUGAAACCGGAGCUAAUACCGGAUAAUAUAUUGAACCGCAUGGUUCAAUAGUGAAAGACGGUUUUGCUGUUACUUAUAGAUGGAUUCGCGCCGCAUUAGCUAGUUGGUAAGGUAACGGCUUACCAAGGCGACGAUGCGUAGCCGACCUGAGAGGGUGAACGGCCACACUGGAACUGAGACACGGUCCAGACUCCUACGGGAGGCAGCAGUUGGGAAUCUUCGGCAAGGGGCGAAAGCCUGACGGAGCAACGCCGCGUGGGUGAAGAAGGUCUUCGGGUCGUAAAACUCUGUUAUUAGGGAAGAAAGAAUGUUUGAUUAUCAGUGUACGUCUUGACGGUACCUAAACAGUAAGCCACGGCUAACUACGUG